CGGUCAUGUGACCGACCUCUCGUCCAAUGGAAAAGCCGUAUAUCGUGUAAACUGCAAAUUAAUAAAUCAUAUACAUUUGAAUAUUCUGAGGAACACACGGACACUUUAGUUAUGCUGUUGGAGGACGUCCUCCUUUUGGGGGAACAGUCUUAUGUCACUGCCAGCAGGGUUGUUGUAUUAGAGAUUAUUCAAAAACUUCUCCCCAUUGUUUUUUAUGAAUGUCAUGUCCCAGCCUCUUGCUGAUGUCAUUAACUGGAGGAUGAGAAUGUUUGUGGUGUUCAACUACCAAAGUCUGCUGUUGUAAGGAAGGAGUAGCUACCUUAUAUUUCAAAAGUUCCAGAUGUUGAUUUGCUUGUAAUGGUUUAACGGGGUCCAAGGUGAUCCAUGUGUGAGCAUUGAGCAAAGCAAUUCCGAGAGCACUGGAUCACUUCAAGAAGACAUUCAAGUUUCCAAAUACUCCAGCUGACACCAGUCUCCAUGUCUACCCUACCUUUCUGGCAUGGCUCGCAGUAUCUGAUGGUACAGCUUGAUGGCUUGACGUCGGUGUAGCACCAGGGUCUGUGGAGGACCCCACCGGG